GCAUUGGUGGUUCAGUAGUAGAAUUCUUGCCUCCCACGAGGGAGACACAGGUUCAAUGCCUGGCCAAUGUA
rfam:Ovis aries breed Texel chromosome 13, whole genome shotgun sequence.